rnacentral:misc_RNA from 1 species
AGUUUAGUUUCCGGUUAUGAAAUAAAGAAGAUGGAAAACUCAUCACGAGUUCAGACCAUUUAUUCCUCUCACAUCCAUCGUCCAUUUAUCAUAAACAUCGAUACCGGAACAUGGUGGAGAAUCAUUAACUGUUAAUCUACACCCGUUAUUUCAGCAAAGUCGUCUAUGAUGGAUUCCCAGAAAAUCCAUAUUACGAGAUUUUCCGGCCAUGUACACGAAGACCCCCAGAAGUUCCUCGACGAACUGGACAGUUACUUGAUCCUGCACGGCAUUAAAGUAACAUCGACAGACCGUAAGUGUGCUGCUUUUCACCUACAUCUACAAGGACCGGCUUUGUCCUGGUACCAACGACUGGCCGACACUGUAAAGUAUAAUUGGAAUAAUUUGCGUGCAGCUUUCCUGGCACAGUAUAACAACAACCGUUGUUUCCAUAUUGACGUUGAGAAGUUCCACUCAUUAAGAUUGCAACCAAACCAACGCAUUGAGGACUUCUAUGCCACAGUGGUAGAUCUGGGAACAAGAUUAGAGGUUGCUGACAGAGACAUCAUGCAUCGUUUCAUCGCGGGCCUCCCAGACCAGCUGGCGUUUUUCGUUCGGGCAGGCCGACCUAUCGAUUUGGCCCAGGCUUUUGAAUCCGCCCUGUCUGGCGCCGCAAGUGGUUACAGGAAAUCUGACCCUCCAGAGCUGUUGCAGCCCACUGCUGCCCCAGAGACUUGUACUACCAUACCUUUGGCUGCUGCUGCCACACAGCCCUCCAUUGACAACCUCGUUAGGAAGAUUGAGUUGCUCUCUACCCAAGUAGACGACCUUCGUCAGCUUAACUCUCGCAACCAGGACCGCCACAUCCCACGAGGAGGAUUCCGCAUGUAGAACAUAGACUGUUUUAUCUUGAGAUUAUACAUUGUAUUUUCAACUUGUGUCUUUUCAUUUUGAUACAUAUUCAAAACCAUUUUUCAUUUUUAUACUAUAGCACUGUAAGUACAGUACUUUGCUAUUGCUGAAACUUAUGCUUUUUCAGAAAAUCACCAAUGUGCAAUGUUUACUUUUUCCAUGAAUUCUAGCUUUUUCCAAAAUAGUCACUACUGCAACAAAAUGUCAGUGUGUUACACAAUUGCAAUUAACUUAAUUGUAUCUACAUUGUUUACUUGGCAUUUGCAGAUUAGUUUUCUUCUUAAUGCACUCUGAUUUGAAUAUCAUGUUGUGUAAAUGUGAGAGUGUUUGAUGGGCCCAAUGAAUGGUGUAUACAUGUUUCGUACAUUUUAUUCACUUCUGAUUUCAUUACUAUAGAAUGUCCAUUUCUUCAGGUUGACUACCAUGGAAUACUAGUAUUAAUAACAAUGGAAUUAUUAUUUUUGUGACAAUGUACUUUCAUCGGAUGUCCAUAUUUCACCUAUUGUUGAGAUUCACUUGAUCUUUAUCAUUUAUGUCAUUUCUUGAUUUUGGAAUUCUGGUCUUUGAUGUUGUUUGCAAAAAUUCUCCAAUUUUUUUUCGCACGGCGGGGAUGUACCAUAUCUGUAAUAUGAUAGUCUGACCAGAAUUCCGGAUCGAUAAUGUUCGACCAUGUUGGUUCCCUAUUUAGUAGUUUAGUUUAGUUUCCGGUUAUGAAAUAAAAAGAUGGAAAACUC